CUUGCUGAAAAGUUACUUUUAAAUUAAUUUAGUCUUAUUUCCAGUGAACUAAGAUAUUUGAACUACAAACUGACCUAAAAUUAAUUGGUGAUAUUUUGUGUUUUUGCAGUUGCAUCCUGGGUUCUGCUCUGCACUGUGGCUGUUUUUCUGUGUCCUGUAUCCGUUUAGUUUUUUGGUUCUGGGUUCUAUUCCUGGUUCCGAUCCGGGUUUGUUGUUCUCCUCUGUUCCGCGUCCGGUGUUUUUGAAGUUUUUUGUUCUCACACAUCGGCUCCUCACACUCACAGAAACACAGUUUGGUGUUAAACUCCCACACUCCGCUCUGACGAAUCAACACACAGCCGUCUGUGUGCAGCUUCUGUAACCACGGCAACUCCAGAACCGUGCCUGACUGGUACCACCCUGAUCCAGCCCAGUCAGCCGAGUCGGGGAUGGGGUAUUGUUCCGAUAAAUGAUCGGCUGCCUGAAUCAAUAACGUGAGUGACACCUGAGGCAGCAACCAGUCAGAGACCAGCGGCUUGAUGACAUCAGAGUGGAGAGCUUGAAAGAGAGAGGAUGAGGACGGUGGUGGUGAUGAAGAUGGAGUGAGAGAACUCCAGCUGGUAUGGAACGAUGUUGGACUGAAGGCGUUUCUCCAGGAACUACUGCAGCGGUUCUGUUUCCAGCCUUCCAGUCAGCCAGAAUAUACUGAACCCCAGAUGGAGUUUGGUAACCAGGAUCCAACUGGUGUGGGUCAGAACUGACGGCGAGUCUGCAGAGAAAACCGAGGAUAAAGGAGAAUCUGAAAUGCUGCAGUAAUUCCUGCUGUUUCAUCAGGAGUCGGACGGCAGAGGAUGGAGGAAAAGAGAAACGGGUGCAGAUGGGGGUGGUGGUGAAAUGAAUGUGUUUUAAUGAGGAGGAGGAGGAACAACAAUCAGAUGGAGGUGUACAAAAGGUGGGAAGAUGGAAUAAUAUUUCAAUAGUUCUAUUACUAUUAGAGUCCGGAACUCAGACUCUCCUGUUUCUUGAUAAUAUUGAGUUACUAGCUGAGUCUCCAUUGAGUAUAUAAUUGCACAAUUUGACAUUUUGAAAAUAAAUGUAAACACAGCAAUUUAAAAAAAAACUUUUGUUUUACAAUAAAAAGGACGUUGCAGGUUUUGUUGGCUGUAUCGAAACUGGUUCACUGGAAAAACAUAAAAUCUUACCAGACAGUUUGGUCUAGUUUCUAGUUCAAAUAUCGUCGAACUCUUGAAAUACAACGAUAUUAACUUACAAUCCAAGUUUCGGCAAGAUUGUUUUAAGUCAAUAAUCCCUUAAUAUUGAAGAAAAAGUUCUGGUUUCA